UUGGUUCUGUGAGAGGGGCAAUGGG
rnacentral:miRNA from 1 species